rnacentral:rRNA from 1 species
GUUAAGAUGAGAAUCUUAUAAGGGUGAUACAAUUUGAGGGGAUAGGUCACAGUGCCAGCAUCUGCGGUUAAUCUGUUUUCUUUGCUUUUGUGUGGAUUAUGCGUAUUUAUUUAUGUGCAAUGUUAGGUUAAAUUUUUUUUGUGACAGUGUGUGGUAAAUAGGUUUUGUUAUGAUAUAUAUGAUGACAGGGAUUAGAUACCCCAUUAAUGUAUUUUGUAAAGUUGUUCUAGUUUUGUAACUAAAAUGGUUUGGCAGUGAGCGAUUCUUAUUAGGGGAAUAUGCAUAGUGAAGGAUGGUCCACCUAUUAGUUUACUCUUUUUAUGUUGGUGUAUGUCUGGUUUGAUAUUAUUGUUGAAUAAUUUAAGUUUGUGUAGUUUUAGUUAAGCUAAGUCUAUGUGCUGCUUAUUGGAGUUUUUGUGUGUUACAUUAAUAAGGGUGUUAUUGUAAGAUGAUGUGAUUUAGGACUUAAUAGUAAUGUUAAAUGAGUUUGUUGAUGUGAAGAGAGUUUAGCUCAGGUACACACCGCCCGUCACCCUCGGUUGUUAUUGAGGUAAGUCGUAACAAGGUAACUUUAAAUGAAUUUGAAGUUAAUUAUUAGGUUGUCCUAGUUGUAGUGAAAUUGUCGUUGUUAUAUUAUGAUAUUGUGUGUUAUAUUGUGGCGGUUUGUGUAUUUAUUGUUUGUUUUGUGUAUGUUUUGUUGUGUUGGAAUGUGGUGUUUGGCGUUGGU